rnacentral:rRNA from 1 species
CAGCAGCCACGGUAAUACGUAGGUGGCAAGCGUUGUCCGGAAUUAUUGGGCGUAAAGCGCGCGCAGGUGGCUUAAUAAGUCUGAUGUGAAAGCCCACGGCUCAACCGUGGAGGGUCAUUGGAAACUGUUAAACUUGAGUGCAGGAGAGAAAAAUGGAAUUCCUAGUGUAGCGGUGAAAUGCGUAGAGAUUAGGAGGAACACCAGUGGCGAAGGCGGCUUUUUGGCCUGUAACUGACACUGAGGCGCGAAAGCGCGGGGAGCAAACAGGAUUAGAUACCCCUGUAGUCCCUGUCUCUUAUAC